rnacentral:sRNA from 1 species
AAGGAGGAGCCGGACAGAGAAGCCAGGGCAGGCGUGCACGCUGAUGAGGACGAAGACGGAGACGAGAAAGAUGAGAAGAAGCACAGAAGUCAACCCAAAGAUCUAGCUGCCAAACGGAGGCCCGAAGAAAAAGAACCUGAAAAAGUAAAUCCACAGAUUUCUGAUGAAAAAGAUGAGGAUGAAAAGGAGGAGAAGAGACGCAAAACGACCCCCAAAGAACCAACGGAGAAAAAAAUGGCUCGCGCCAAAACAGUCGUGAACUCCAAGGUAAAUGUAUGCCGGGAAUAAAGCUGGUGGCGGCGCUCAUGAGGCGGCUGGGAGCUGCUCUCUGAGUGCCAUCA